rnacentral:rRNA from 1 species
AUCCUGGCUCAGGAUGAACGCUUAGCGGCAGGCUUAAUCAUGCAAGUCGAGGGCUCAGCAAUGGGACCGGCGCACGGGUGCGUAACACGUAUGCAACCUGCCUGUAUCUGGGGGAUAGCCCGAGGAAACUCGGAUUAAUACCGCAUACCACUGAGGGUCGGCAUCGAUUUUCAGUGAAAGAUUUAUCGGAUACAGAUGGGCAUGCGCAGGAUUAGCUAGUUGGUGUGGUAACGGCACACCAAGGCGACGAUCCUUAGGGGCUCUGAGAGGAGUAACCCCCACACUGGCACUGAGAUACGGGCCAGACUCCUACGGGAGGCAGCAGUAGGGAAUAUUGGGCAAUGGAGGCAACUCUGACCCAGCCAUGCCGCGUGCAGGAAGACGGCCCUCUGGGUUGUAAACUGCUUUUAAGUAGGAGGAAAGUGCAGCUUGCGAGCUGUUUUGACGUUACUACUAGAAUAAGCCACGGCUAACUACGUG